rnacentral:tRNA from 1 species
GCGAUCGUGGUCUAGUGGUAUGACUUUGGCCUUCCAAGCCAAAAGCCCGGGUUCAAUUCCCGGCGAUCGCA